rnacentral:rRNA from 1 species
GGCUCAGGACGAACGCUGGCGGCGCGCCUAACACAUGCAAGUCGAGCGAGAACCGGGGGCUUGCCCUCGGGGACAGCGGCGAACGGGUGCGUAACACGUGAGCAACCUGCCCCAAAGACCGGGACAACCCGAGGAAACUCGGACUAAUAUCGGAUGCCCUCACCGGGUCGCAUGGUCUGGUGAGGAAAUGGAUUCCGCUUUGGGAUGGGCUCGCGGUCUAUCAGCUUGUUGGUGGGGUAACGGCCUACCAAGGCAACGACGGAUAGCUGGUCUGAGAGGACGAUCAGCCACACUGGGACUGAGACACGGCCCAGACUCCUACGGGAGGCAGCAGUGGGAAUCUUGCGCAAUGGGGGAAACCCUGACGCAGCGACGCCGCGUGCGGGAUGAAGGCCUUCGGGUUGUAAACCGCUUUCAGCAGGGACGAAAUUGACGGUACCUGCAGAAGAAGGCCCGGCCAACUACGUGCCAGCAGCCGCGGUAAUACGUAGGGGCCUAGCGUUGUCCGGAAUUAUUGGGCGUAAAGAGCUCGUAGGUGGUUCGGCAAGUCGGAUGUGAAAUCUCCACGCUUAACGUGGAGGGGCCAUUCGAAACUGCUGUGACUUGAGUCCGGUAGGGGAGUGUGGAAUUCCCGGUGUAGCGGUGAAAUGCGCAGAUAUCGGGAGGAACACCAGUAGCGAAGGCGGCACUCUGGGCCGGUACUGACACUGAGGAGCGAAAGCGUGGGGAGCGAACAGGAUUAGAUACCCUGGUAGUCCACGCCGUAAACGUUGGGCACUAGGUGUGGGACUCUAUCGACGGGUUCCGUGCCGUAGCUAACGCAUUAAGUGCCCCGCCUGGGGAGUACGGCCGCAAGGC